UACGUAGGGGGCUAGCGUUGUCCGGAAUCAUUGGGCGUAAAGCGCGUGUAGGCGGCCCGGUAAGUUCGCUGUGAAAGUCGGGGGCUCAACCCUCGGAUGCCGGUGAAUACUGUCGGGCUUGAGUACGGAAGAGGCGAGUGGAAUUCCUGGUGUAGCGGUGAAAUGCGCAGAUAUCAGGAGGAACACCAAUUGCGAAGGCAGCUCGCUGGGACGUGACUGACGCUGAGACGCGAAAGCGUGGGGAGCAAACAGG
rnacentral:rRNA from 1 species